CGGGUCGAGAGGCGCUGCAACGGACCACGCCGGUCCGCCACGCUCGAUCCGUAGUCCAGUAGAGCUGUAAGGGCGCCUCCCAUGA
rnacentral:ncRNA from 2 species